ACUAUCCGUCCCAGACUUUGUUCUAAUAAUCAUUAGAUGAGAUUUCUGACGAGUAGGCCAUGGGCUAUGCUUGAUUUCAGGCAUCUCAAUGCUGUCUGGGGGUGUCCGUCAAGGCUGAAUGGCUGGAGUGGAGCUGGGAAUGAGAGGAUGCUUUUUCUCCAUGGGGUAACUUUGAGAGUGCGUUUGUGUGGGUGUGAGUCCCUCGUGCCUUUGGGGGCUGCCUGUCUGUUAAGCAGUGCUUGCCUAUGCCCUUGGCCUUGACCUGACCCUUGUUGGUGUGGCUGUCAGUCAAAUGGCGGAAGCGCUGGCGUCUCCCCUGACAGCUGGUGCAGUAACAACUGUCAGCGCCGGUGAAGUCAGCUUGCUUUCCAAGAGGCACGUGUAAUGUUUAAGUCUGAAGAGAGGAAUUGAUUGAGGGUUUGGACUGUUGAAAGGUAGGCAGGGAGAGGUGCAGCCCUUCCCGGCAAUCCAAUUUGGGCAUAACUUUGGAUUCUAAUCAAACGGUCUUUCAUCACACUGUCUUACCACAUGCGAUUUUAACGUAGAGGUUGCGAGUCAGAAGGCUAUGAGCUGGAUUUGUGGGUACCGUGGGUUGAAUUGUGUCCACCAAAACAUAUGUCCAAGUCCUAACCACUAAUACUUGUGAACAUGACCUAAUUUGGAAAGAGUGUCUUUGCAUAUGUGGUCAAGUUAAGAUGUGGUCAUUAGGGUGGGCCCUAAUCCCAUAUGACUGGUGUCCUUAGAUGAAGAGGGAGAACAGGCCGGGCACGAUGGCUCAUGCCUGUAGUCCCAGCACUUUGGGAGGCUGAGGCAGGUGGAUUACAAGGUCAGGAGUUCAAGACCAGCCUGGCCAACAUGGUGAAACCCUGUCUCUACUAAAAAUACAAAAACUAGCUGGGCGUGGUGGUGGGCUCCUGUAAUCCCAGCUACUCAGGAGGCUGAGGCUGGAGAAUCGCUUGAACCCGGGAGGCGGAGGUUGCAGUGAGCCAAGAUCGUGCCAUUGCACUCUAUGUGGGCAACAAGAGCAAGACUCUGUCUCAAAAAAAAAGAUGAAAAGGGAGAACACACACACACACACGGGAAGGCCAUGUGAAGAUGCAGCAGAGAUUGGAGUGACGUGCCUACAUGCCAGGGAACACCAAGGGUUUCCAGCGACCCCAGAGGCAAAGAGAAAGGCAUAGAACCUCUCCAGAGCCUUUGGAGGGAGCAGGGUCCUACCCACACCUUGGUCUUGGACUUCUGGCCCCCAGGACUAUGAGAGAAUAAAUUUCUGUUGUUAUAAGCCAUCCCAUUUGUGGUAAUUUGUUGUGGCAGCUCUGGGGAGCUAACAACGACGUUAAAAAAAGUUGGACAAAUGGCUACUGUUUAAAAACAGAAAUUUUACGUAAAAGCCUGGAUUUUUGGCAUCUCUAGAAAAAUCAGAUCUAUUCACAGAGGGCCAACAUUCUCCGAUGGGAAAAGUCUGGAACUCUGCAGUGUGCCCAAGUCACCACCACUUCCAGUUGUCCUGAAACCAGCCUGCUUCUCCCAGUUGUGUUUUGUGUCAAGACUCUCUAGGUUUCUAAGUUUGCAGCUGCUUGUUUCGUGAUAGAUCUGGGAUGGAAGCGUUGGAAAGAGCCUAUCUCUGGCUUUCUGGUUUCUAGAGCAGAGGUUAGCAAACUAUAGCCGGUGGGUCAAAUGUGGCACUCUAUGUGUUUUGAUAGACAAAGUUUUAUUGAAAAGCAGCCAUGCCUAUUCAUAUACGUAUUGUCUACGGUUGCUUUUGCACCAUAACCCCAGGGUUGAGAAGCUUCAAUGGAAACCAUUUGGCCUGUAAGGUGGAAAACAUGUACUUUCUAGCCCUUUACAGAAAGACUGUGCUGACCCUUAUUCUGGAGAAUCAAGAAAUCCAGAUUUUUAUGUGAAUUCUCCUUGUUUUCAAGUGAGGGCAACAAACUCAUAUUGGUUUUUAAUUUCAAAAAUUUAACUGUCAAUCAAGGUCAUCUUUCGAUGUCAAAAAUGGGAAUCUCCAUCUUUUUUUUAAAAGAUAAAUGGAGUAAUAUGAGUCAUUUAACCAAUUUUUUAUUAAUGGGUAUGCAGGCAGUUAUAAGUUUAUAUAAACUAGUGAAGGCUGGCUAGGUAUUGAGCAUUGAGCUUCUUUUUGGGGAUGGGGUGGGAAUGAGUGAGUGGGAUGUUUAACCCAGAGUUUAGAAAGCCAGCAGACUAUGCCAUUAUUUUUAUCAAAUGUUCAUGUUUGGUUUUUAAAGGCAAGAUAUGAAACACUGGCCUUCCCUGUCCAUGGAAGGCUCUGCAAGAAAAAACAGAACUUAAAAAUGCAGCAGAAAAGAAUUGUUUUGGUUGUGAGGAGGUAGCUUUUGUUGCUCAAGGUGGUGAACCCUGGAAAGAGUGACUGAGAGAAACUCUUGAAUUUCCCUCUCUGAAGACCCUCUAAGAGGCAAUAACUCUGCCCAGGUUGGAUGUGACCCAGUGAGGGAAGAUCUGUUUGGCCACCUCUGCUCCAGCACAAAUGGCUCCCUCUAGCCCGGCACUGAGAAAGCUUCUGUGUCUACCUUGCCUAACAGGAAGAAGUGCCAUGCUGGGUACAGACAGGGGUCAUUGGUAGUGGAGGUAUUUGGGCAUUUAACCAUACCUUUGCCAUCCCUGGAUUAGAGACCAGGAGCUGGGUCAGCUGAUCACAUGUCCUUCUGAGCUCCAGGGUCCUCAUCUGUGAUUGGCUGACUCCAUUAGUCUAUACAAGGCCAUUGCCAGGUAGGUCCAUCCCAGGCUAUAGGGCUGUUUGAAGGGUAUGCAUAGAAAAAUAAAUGCAGCAGGCCUGAGACUGUUAUCCCUAGAAAGGCCUGCUUACAGGGUUGACCUUUGGCUGGUGUUUGGGAGCUUGGCACUUGGACUAUUCCCUGAAUAAGUGUGUGUCAUGGUUCCUAGACUGUACAAACCAUGUGACUUAUGGUGAACACUUGCUUUCCUUCUGGGAAUCUGGAAUAUGGGUACAUGCUAGGCAGAGGGGUCUAUGUGACUAGUCCCCAAUACAAACCCUGGGCACUGAGUCUCUGAUGGGCUCCCCUGGACAGAAACAGCAGGCAUAUGUUGCUGUGUUUUUCUUGCUGGAAGAAGAGUGUGCUUUGUGUGACCCUCAUGGGAGGAAGAGAGAAUAUAAGGAAGCUGGUGCAUGGAUUUCUACAAAAUCUGCCUGUGUCUUUUCCCUUGUUGAUCCUGUUGUAUAUCUUUUUGCUGUAAUAAGCCUUAGUCAUAAGUCCAACCAAAUGCUGAGCUCCGUGAGAUCUUCUAGUGAAUCACUAAACAUAUGAGAGUGGUCUUGAGAAACCCUCUAACAGGAUGGUUCAUUGUAAACUCAAUUCCACCAUUAAAACAAUUCAGAGUCCCUGCCUUGAUGAAGAUGAUAAUGAUACACGUAUCAGUGAUUAUAUUAAUAACUAACACUUAAAUUACACAAUGUGCCAGGUGCUGUUUUAACACUCUACAUAGAUUGACUCAUUUCAUUCUCACAACCAUCCUUAGAGGUAGGUAUUACUUUUAUCCCUCAGUUUACAGAUGAGAAAACUGAGACACAGAGAGAGGAAGUGACCUGUCCUUCGUCACCCAGCUCAUAGGUGGUGGAGCUGAGAAUGAAACUCCCAGGCUGCGAAUGGCAGACACUUGGGAUCCUCCAAAAACGUAGGACUCUCCGUGGAUUGGUAAUUGGAGCCUGUGCCUUCUUGGAAACUAGCUUUAGUCGAAAGAAGUUAAAUAAGGAGGAUAUUGAAUGUUCCCAACACAAAGAAAUAAAUGUUUGAGAUGAUGGAUAUGCCAAUUACCCUGAUCUGAUCACCAUGCAUUAUUUGUAUCAAAACUUCACUAUGUACCCCAUAAAUAUGUGCAAUUAUUAUGUGACAAUUAAAAAAAUAAAAAGUAUUUUUUAAAAAGAGGCUAACUCAAUUGGUCUUUGCCUUUUAACAGAGGGUGUAUCAGUGAGAAUAAGCUGGGAUAACGAAGCAUGUCAAAAUGCCAGCGGCUUAAAAUAACAAGGUUUAUUCCUUGCUCAGUCUGAGUGUCCAUCGCAUCUGGCCAUGGGCUCUGCACCGUGCCUCCCUCCCCUGGACCUAGGCUGCCGGAGGAGCAGCCCGUCUUCACUUGCUGUGGGAUGUCAGGGCGCUGGGAGCAGAUGCUGCUGCUCCCCUACGCCGGGACAGCUCACGUCUCAUUGGCCAGAGUAGUCACAUGACCCCACCCAGGCACUGGGAAGCCAGGAAGUGAGUCCUACUGUGCGUCCUCAGGGCAGAUAGUACAACUCUUCGGUCAGCAGCACGGGGAAUGCUCCAGCGAGGAUUAGGAAGGAAACCAGACUUUUGAUUUCCCUGACUCCAGGCUUUGCGGGAAGAAUGCUCAUUGAAGGAAGAUUGGGAGUUGAGAGGAGGGGGUAGGAGUGAGCUGAUUAUUAUCAAAGGCAGAAGUGAGAAAACGGGGGGCUGAUAGUUAAGUCCUUUCAGAGCAAAUGAAAGUGAUUUCCAUGACAACAAUUCAAUUAGAAAGCGACAUGAAGUUCUCUGUGAGGGAACGCUGGGGAAUUACCACACAAUGAACCCUAAGCAUUUUGGCCUUGGGGUGGAGAGGGGUGAGAAAGGCCCCAGCAGGGGACCCCCAGCGGUUCCUGGAUACUGGGCAUGCCUCCCUAGUGGGAAGAGUCACCCCUUCCAGCACCCAGGGGAGGGAGGAGGGAAGAGGUGCAAACUCUGAAGCUUCAGCAAUGCCUCCCUGGGACCUGUGUUAAGAAGACUUUUGAGGUCGGUCGCGGUGGCUCACGCCUGUAAUCCCAGCACUUUGGGAGGCCGAGGUCGGCGGAUCACGAGGUCAGGAGAUCGAGACCAUCCUGGCUAACACGAUAAAGGAAUCGAGGUCCAGGAAGGGGAGUAGAAUUACCAAAGCCUCCAAGUGAGUCAGUAGCCAUGGUUGGUACUUGAACUUCCAUCCUUUGACUUGGUUUACCUUUGCUACCCCACUCAGUUCUACCCCAGGAUGGCCAGAGGAGACCAGGCUUGACUGACAGCCCUGUUUCCUAGGGGAUGUCACUGUCUAGGUAGAGAUGCUGGAGAUAUAGCAGGAAGAAAACACACCCAAAUCCUGGCCCGCAUGGAGCUGACAUUGUAAGAUACCCCACACCAUCAGUCAAAGAUGAGAAGAGAGAAGCACAGAGAAGUUAAUUCACUUGCCCAAGAUCACACAGCCAGUAGCGGGAGAACCAGCAUGUAAUCCCAGGCAUUCUACCUCUGGAACUCAUGCUCUUGGGUACAGCCGUCUUCUGCCUCUGUGUGUCAGGGAGAGCACUGGCACAGAACUAAGCCCUGCUGCUUGCUCUGACACCAAGUAACUGAAUGAUCAUGGGCAACUGUCAUUGAAUAGUGCUGUGCCUCAGUUUCUACAUAUAGAGAAUGGGAUACCAGCCUGACUCUGGGUUCUUCAAGGAUCUGGUGAAGUAUUUGGCAGGAACACCUUUUGGUGGGAAAAUAUAAUAAAAUAAUAAAUAUUAGUAUAAUAAAAUAAUAAAUAUUAGUUUUAUAUCACUAUAAUAAGUUACCACCAAUUUAGUGGAUUAAAACAACAGAGAUAAAUUAUUUUAUAUAAUAGUUCUGGAGGU